rnacentral:lncRNA from 1 species
ACACAGUGGGUAAGAGAAGAAAACAUGGAGAAUUAUUUUACAGCUGUGAUGUUGUCAAUUGUACAAUAUCUACUCCAAUUUCCUCCCAUCUUUGAGAUGACUGAUAAGAAUGCCUUAUGUGUCACACAGGAUCAUAACACAAACUUUCUUCUCUUUCCUGAUGCCCCUCUCAAAUUUACUCAGUAGGGGGAACUUCACCUUCUCCUAUGUAAAUGGGCUUUUCUGCUUAUGUUUAAAUAAUAGGCCAUUGUGUGGCAAACAACUCUAUCAAAAGUUGUGUCUUUUACCCUAGCUCCUGGGAAAUAACCACUAAAGUCUUGAAAUGUCUUGAGUGAUUGGAGGACCUUUAUUUUUCACGCCUGAUGCCUUAUGCUGAUGAGAUGACUCAGCAGGGGAUGGCCAGGCCAGAAAGACCAAAACUGUAUCCUGAGGUUUGAGUUUCUGAGCCAGGUGAUGUCAUCCUCCAGCUUGGCCGGCCUCUUUCUGGGAGCCUCUGGUGUGAAAGAGAGCAGUGCUUGCCUUUCCCAUGUCUAGGAGUUUGCCUAAAUCUUCAAAGAUAUGUGAGGCUUGCCUAGAACAUCAUCAUCAGGAAUGCUGGUCCUUCAAUUUGUUUUUUGAAUUGAAGUGUAGUUUACAGUGAUCAAGUUGAAAAUAAGGCUCUGCAUGAAAGCUAACUAUUAAAAGGGUGUGGGCACAGGAGCAACCAACACAGACCCCACAGAAUCCCAAACCUAUGCUAAGAGGGAGCACUUCCAUCCCUCCAAACCUGUGCUAAGAGGGACACCUCCAUCCUUCUAAGCCUGUGCUAAGAGGGAACACCUCCAUCCUUCCAAACCUGUGAUAGGAGGGAGCAUCUCCAUCCUUCUGAACCUGUGCUAAGAGGAAACACCUCCAUCCUUCCAAACCUGUGAUAGGAGGGAGCACCUCCAUCCUUCCGAACCUGUGCUAAGAGGGACACCUCCAUCCUUCCAAGCCUGUGCUAAGAGGGAGCACCUCCAUCCUUCCAAACCUGUGAUAGGAGGGAGCACCUCCAUCCUUCCAAGCCUGUGCUAAGAGGGAGCACCUCCAUCCUUCCAAACCUGUGAUAGGAGGGAGCACCUCCAUCCUUCCGAACCUGUGCUAAGAGGGACACCUCCAUCCUUCCAAGCCUGUGCUAAGAAGGAGCACCUCCAUCCUUCCAUCUGGCAACCCCACAUCUUUCUGUGCAGCAUUGGCUCAUGGAGUUUUGCACAAUCUGUUGCCUUAAUGCAGCUGUGAGGUGGUAAACCCCAUGCCAUUGCACAGCUGUGCUGGUGGAGUCUUCAACAACAGAGGGAUGAAACGAGAGUGCUGAGUGAUGGGUGGAGUGUGCUCACAGAAGCCAGCUGUGCUUGCCCCACUCCCACCCAAAAUGUUUACCCACGUGGGAAAUGCCUGCCCUGCAUAGGAGUACCCAAGGAACCCAGGAUAUAAAGAAACUUCUAAAAUGGAUCUGAAAGGGGGAAGAGCCCUCCCCUGUAAGGAAGCGAGAGAGAUUUAUUAAAAAUCAUCAACUUCAAAUUAUUUGGAUGGAAACAUUGCCAAAUCAUAGAGAUGUUUGCUACCACCCGCACACCAAGCAGCUGGGUAACUAGAAGUGCAGGAUCAGCUUAUUCACCUCCGAAAGCCUGCAUGCAACCACUGAGGCCGCCUCUAUUUUUUACAUAGUUCUACUUGGUGUAUGUAACCCCACAGAGAAACCUGGAAGAAUGCAUGAAACCUAGUAAGGCAACCAGCACAUGCAACAGAAUGAACCGUUUCUUUCCAUCUGAAUGCCUAAAUGUGGACUCUGAUCCUUUCUACCAAGUCCUAAGUUUGGGAAAAGAGGACAAGGACAGGGGCUCUGUCCCAUAUCAUAAUGUGCUUGUGAAUGGCUAAAAUUACAAUGCUGAGAUAAGUGUGUGUAAUAAAAUAAUUGCACCCCGAAUUGAAGAA